rnacentral:RNase_P_RNA from 1 species
GUAACCGACUGUGCAAUCGCGUAAUAUGUUGCCGAAAGGUAUUAUUAUGAGGAAAGUCCGGGCAUCACAGGGCAGGAUAGCGGAUAACGUCCGCCGAAGGCGACUUCAGGGAAAGUGCAACAGAAAUAAACCGCCGCAUUUUAAUGCGGUAAGGGUGGAAAGGUGAGGUAAGAGCUCACCGGCAUGACAGGCGACUGUGUGCCUAUGUAAACCCUAUCCGAUGCAACACCGUAUGCGGAGCGCGGCUCUGCCGCUAUGUCGGCCCGACAGAUUCUGCGGGUGGCGGGAGUUUUACUCCGAGCAAAACGGCAACGUUUUGCAAAGAUAGAUGAUUGCAGGCGUCAUUACAAGCGGUUUUUUCCGCUUAUUGUGACGCGUUACAGAACCCGGCUUACAGGUCGGUUGCAAAA